AACGAACGCUGGCGGCGCGCCUAAUACAUGCAAGUCGAACGAGAAUGUGUAGCAAUACACAUUGUACAGUGGCGAACGGGUGAGGACUACAUGGGUAACCUACCCUUCGAGUGGGAAUAACUAGCCGAAAGGUUAGCUAAUACCGCGUACGCUUCCCAGACUGCGGUUUGGGAAGGAAAGCGAUACCGUGGGUAUCGCGCUCUUGGAUGGGCUCAUGCCCUAUCAGCUUGUUGGUGAGGUAACGGCUCACCAAGGCUUCGACGGGUAGCUGAUCUGAGAGGAUGAUCAGCCACACUGGCACUGCGACACGGGCCAGACUCCUACGGGAGGCAGCAGUAAGGAAUAUUGCGCAAUGGGCGAAAGCCUGACGCAGCGACGCCGCGUGGGGGAUGAAGGUCUUCGGAUUGUAAACCCCUUUCGGGAGGGAAGAUGGGAUGGGGUAACCCAUUCGGACGGUACCUCCAGAAGCAGCCACGGCUAACUUCGUGCCAGCAGCCGCGGUAAUACGAAGGUGGCAAGCGUUGUUCGGAUUUACUGGGCGUACAGGGAGCGUAGGCGGUUGGAUAAGCCCUCCGUGAAAUCUCCAGGCUUAACCUGGAAAGUGCAGAGGGGACUGUUCAGCUAGAGGAUGGGAGAGGAGCGCGGAAUUCCCGGUGUAGCGGUGAAAUGCGUAGAGAUCGGGAGGAAGGCCGGUGGCGAAGGCGGCGCUCUGGAACAUUUCUGACGCUGAGGCUCGAAAGCGUGGGGAGCAAACAGGAUUAGAUACCCUGGUAGUCCACGCCUUAAACGAUGGAUACUAAGUGUCGGCGGGUUACCGCCGGUGCCGCAGCUAACGCAGUAAGUAUCCCGCCUGGGAAGUACGGCCGCAAGGUU
rnacentral:rRNA from 1 species